AAGUACAACUCGUACACUCCGGUUUCUUCGCUGCCCUCCACACCCACCUGACCUCGCUCGCUACGUUUGUUGGUG
rnacentral:sRNA from 1 species